UACGGGGGGGGCAAGCGUUGUUCGGAAUUACUGGGCGGAAAGCGCGUGUAGGCGGACCACCAAGUCGGACGUGAAAGCCCUGAGCUCAACUCAGGAACUGCAUCCGAAACUGGCGGUCUGGAGUAGUGGAGAGGAAAGCAGAAUUCCUGGUGUAGAGGUGAAAUUCGUAGAUAUCAGGAGGAACACCGGUGGCGAAGGCGGCUUUCUGGACACUUACUGACGCUGAGACGCGAAAGCGUGGGGAGCAAACAGG
rnacentral:rRNA from 1 species